AUAUACGUAUCAAUUUAUGCAUAAUUACUAGCAGAACAGGUAGGCAGCUAAGUUAGCCCAUUUAUGUGUUUAAAUUAUUAUUUUUUUUACAGAUUUAGUAACUUUCACAAGACAGCAUUAGUCCCUGAAGACUGGAUGUCUUAGGAGACUCCAUUACAGUAUAUAAACCAUGCUGCCAAGGAUGGGUUUAUAAUUUCUGGUAUGGGUAACAUUCAGGAAUGUGGCUUCAGACUUCUCUCCAGAGGAGUGGGAAUUGUACUGGGAUGCUAUGAUGGAGAGCUGCAGUAACUUGGUCUCACUGGUUCAUGAGAAGAUGGAUAUUAAGAUCAGGGCCAUAACUACAGUGAGACUGAAGUCGGUGAAGUGCCUGGAGUCCAAAAUUUAAGUAGGCAUUCACUCUUAGGGUCGUGUUGUCUAACUAACCUGUCCUGAGUUCCAAGGGGUAUGUCAAUCUCAAGAUGGGGCACAGAAGUAUGUAAGCUGCAAGCAAUAGGAGAUUUAAGAGAAAGUCAAGACAACCUGACUGGCUGUAAACUCCCGCUCUUACUUAAAGGACAACUGCAUUCACGUUAAUUAGAAAUCCAAGUCAGGUAUUUUUAUGAUGUAUGACUAAGGUUAGUAUCCUUGAGCUCUCCCUAGGAGAUAAAGUCUCCAACCUUUAGGUAACAUGAAGGACUUGAAGCUGACCAUAGACUCUGUGAUGCUCAAGUUUCCAAUCCAUUAGGGGACCCUGAUAUUUGACUCAGAUCAUCUGCUGCUCCCAGAUUACACCCUACCCCCAGAACCGGCAUCAGAAGUUGUGAUGAUUUUAGCCUGGUCAUCCCCCAGAUGCCGGUUAUCUGAAUAAACCUUCUAAUCUUUGCACCAA